CAGCCGCCACGGUAAUACGGAGGGUGCAAGCGUUAAUCGGAAUUACUGGGCGUAAAGCGCACGCAGGCGGUCUGACAAGUCAGAUGUGAAAUCCCCGGGCUUAACCUGGGAACUGCAUUUGAAACUGUCAGGCUGGAGUCUUGUAGAGGGGGGUGGAAUUCCAGGUGUAGCGGUGAAAUGCGUAGAGAUCUGGAGGAAUACCGGUGGCGAAGGCGGCCCCCUGGACAAAGACUGACGCUCAGGUGCGAAAGCGUGGGGAGCAAACAGGAUUAGAUACCACUGUAGUCCCUGUCUCUUAUAC
rnacentral:rRNA from 1 species